rnacentral:rRNA from 1 species
AGCAGCCGCGGUAAUUCCAGCUCCAAUAGCGUAUAUUAAAGUUGUUGCAGUUAAAAAGCUUGUAGUUGAAUUUCGGGAUUAGUACGCUGGUCGUGCCUUCGGUAUGUACUGGUGUUACUGAUUCCUACCUUCUGACGAAUCGUCAUGUCAUUCAUUUGGUGUGGCGGGGAAUCAGGACUGUUACUUUGAAAAAAUUAGAGUGUUUAAAGCAGGCUCGCGCUUGAAUACAUUAGCAUGGAAUAAUGAAAUAGGACGUUCGAUCCUAUUUUGUUGGUUUCUAGGAUUGACGUAAUGAUUAAUAGGGAUAGUUGGGGGCAUUAGUAUUCAAUUGUCAGAGGUGAAAUUCUUGGAUUUAUUGAAGACUAACUACUGCGAAAGCAUUUGCCAAGGAUGUUUUCUAUUAAUCAAGAACGAAAGUUAGGGGAUCGAAGACGAUCAGAUACCGUCGUAGUCUUAACCAUAAACUAUGCCGACUAGGGAUCGGAUGAUGUUAUUUUUAAUGACUCAUUC